rnacentral:rRNA from 1 species
GACGAACGCUGGCGGCGUGCUUAACACAUGCAAGUCGAACGGAAAGGCCCUGCUUUUGUGGGGUGCUCGAGUGGCGAACGGGUGAGUAACACGUGAGUAACCUGCCCUUGACUUUGGGAUAACUUCAGGAAACUGGGGCUAAUACCGGAUAGGAGCUCCUGCUGCAUGGUGGGGGUUGGAAAGUUUCGGCGGUUGGGGAUGGACUCGCGGCUUAUCAGCUUGUUGGUGGGGUAGUGGCUUACCAAGGCUUUGACGGGUAGCCGGCCUGAGAGGGUGACCGGCCACAUUGGGACUGAGAGACGGCCCAGACUCCUACGGGAGGCAGCAGUGGGGAAUAUUGCACAAUGGGCGGAAGCCUGAUGCAGCAACGCCGCGUGCGGGAUGACGGCCUUCGGGUUGUAAACCGCUUUCGCCUGUGACGAAGAGUGAGUGACGGUAAUGGGUAAAGAAGCACCGGCUAACUACGUG